AGAUUUGGGUUUUAUGAUUUAGAAAUUAGGAUAACAAGAAUAUUUGUGGAUAGAUGAGUAUUCUUUCAGAAAUUUUCAUCAAUAUGUUGUAUUUUUAAAUAAUUUUCUUAACAACUGCUAUUUUUGGAAAGUUUUCAUUUAUUAGAGAAAGAAUGUAGAUUUGAGUUUUGUGAUUUAGAAAUUAGGAUAACAAGAAUAUUUGUGGAUAGAUGAGUAUUCUUUCAGAAAUUUUCAUCAAUAUGUUGUAUUUUUAAAAUAAUUUUCUUAAAAACUGCUAUUUUUAGAAAGUUUUAAUUUAUUAGAGAAAUACUGUAGAUUAGGGGGUUUGUGAUUUAGAAAUUGGGAUAACAAAAAUAUUUUUGGAUAUAUGAGUAUUAUUUCUCAGUUUUUAAUCAAUAG
rnacentral:lncRNA from 1 species